rnacentral:rRNA from 1 species
CUACGGGGCGCAGCAGUGGGGAAUCUUAGACAAUGGGCGCAAGCCUGAUCUAGCCAUGCCGCGUGAGUGAUGAAGGCCUUAGGGUCGUAAAGCUCUUUCGCUGGGGAAGAUAAUGACGGCACCCAGUAAAGAAACCCCGGCUAACUCCGUGCCAGCAGCCGCGGUAAUACGGAGGGGGUUAGCGUUGUUCGGAAUUACUGGGCGUAAAGCGCGCGUAGGCGGACUGUUAAGUCGGGGGUGAAAUCCCGGGGCUCAACCCCGGAACGGCCUUCGAUACUGGCAGUCUGGAGUUCGAGAGAGGUGAGUGGAAUUCCGAGUGUAGAGGUGAAAUUCGUAGAUAUUCGGAGGAACACCAGUGGCGAAGGCGGCUCACUGGCUCGAUACUGACGCUGAGGUGCGAAAGUGUGGGGAGCAAACAGGAUUAGAUACCCCCGUAGUC